UGGCGGACGGGUGAGAAACACGUGGGCAACCUGCCUCACAAUGAGGGAUAGCCCUCCGAAAGGAGGAUUAAUACCUCAUAACACAAGAGAAACGCAUGUUUCUUUUGCCAAAGAAUUUCGUUGUGAGAUGGGCCCGCGGCGCAUUAGCUUGUUGGUGAGGUAACGGCUCACCAAGGCUUCGAUGCGUAGCCGACCUGAGAGGGUGAUCGGCCACAUUGGAACUGAGACACGGUCCAGACUCCUACGGGAGGCAGCAGUGGGGAAUAUUGCACAAUGGAGGAAACUCUGAUGCAGCAACGCCGCGUGAGUGAUGAAGGUCUUCGGAUUGUAAAGCUCUGUCUUCUGGGACGAUAAUGACGGUACCAGAGGAGGAAGCCACGGCUAACUACGUGCCAGCAGCCGCGGUAAU
rnacentral:rRNA from 1 species